UCCAAAAUUUGCCCUAAAUGCACGCUCCUUCUCGCCCUAAAUACACUUCUUCUCGAUUCUCUUCCAUCUUCUGCAGCGACGGCGACAAGGGGGAGGCGCUGGUCUAGGGUUGCUGCUGUCGGUCUGGCCGAGGUGCCGGCGACAAUGGGGAGGCGGUGGCGGCGAGCAUGGGGCCGCUGGAGGCCGACAGCAGUAGGGCGGCGCAGCUCUUCCGCGGCGACGAUUUCCGUCAGGAACUGUUUAAAUUGCUAGUUGAAGGGCACUUUAUUUGAAAGGGAUGAACAAAUGAGAGAAAGAGAUCGUGAAAUGAGAGAUGUGCCGACAACAAGACUGGAUUUUGCAACAUCUUCAGUUGAGUUCUACUUUGAAUUAGUUUCCUCCGGGUGACGGUGAUGAUGAUGAUGGUGAUAAUGAUGGCAGUGGUGGUGCUUCUUCUGAAAUUACAUAAGAAAAGAUGAACGAAAAAAGGCGAGUUUGCACCCUGAGGUAUGAUGAUAUGUAUUUUUUGCUUUCACUUGUUAGGUUUGUUGUAUAGAAUUUAUUAUGAGUUCUUAAAGUUUGAUUUGUUUGAGUUUAACUUGUUUGGAUGUUAUAAUUGUAUAUGAAUUUGAAAUAUUUAGUUUUAGAUGUCUUUUUUAUGUUUAGUUGACGAUAUGUAUUUUGUAUGAACUUGUUUGUAUUAAUUUAAUUUGUUGGAUUCACAAAUA